GGCAACAGAUUCAAAGAGAGCAGUGUUUUUUUGAGAGGAUGCCACUCCUCUUUGUGAAGUCACCCAAAAAAACAGCCCGGGGGAAGGGUUUUAAAAAAAAUCAGAAAAGACUACGCUACCUGGUUUGUUAAAUAUUCUAAAUUCCACAUCAGAAAACAAUCAAGCAUUGCUCAUAUAGGCCGACAUUAAGGAAUAAUUCAAAAUCCUCAUUCAGUUUGAAAAUGUUGACUCGGUGCUUAGAUGUCAACCUCAUUUACAGAGUUUUUUUUUUAUUUUAUUUUUUUAUUUUAAAUCUAAUUCGCAGUGUGCCCUAGUAUCAAAGUUAAAUUACCCGAAAACUCACUAUUUGUACAGAGAACUAUCUUGACACACUAUUAUCGUCUUUGGAUCGACGUACACUGGGCGUGGAUCAACGUCACUUCAUUAAAUAAACACAAGAAAUGGGUGUAGGGCCUAUACUGUCACGUGUUAACAAUGCAGGCAGGUGAAAGUUAUAAAUAAAAACAACAUUUAAAAAAAUACACGCUUUAGAAAUAAACUAAUAGGGACAUUUGGUUUCUCUGGUAACAUGGUCGUCUCACUUUCACACCGCCUGCUGCCGUGACUGCGGCAAGACUGCUGACCUGACCUCAGUGCUAGGGGUUAUUUGCCAGACAUUGGCUGUCUAAAAAUAGAUCACCUUUGCCUGUAGCCUAUUUAGCGUACCGGUGCAACAGGAUUCAAUUUGUUAAUGGCAUAUAAAUUCCCUACUGUUGUCAUAAUAGCCUACAUGUUAUAUGUGCAAUGCCAUUUAGGCUUCUUAAAUUAAAUGUAGGAAGCCUAUUGCCGGGAAAAUGUGAUGCAGGAUGGCUCUACAUUAUACAGAAGACAAAAUCAUGACUCAUCUCCUCGUAUAAACACUGAAUAGCAGUCUUUUUGGUAAGAAAAAGAAGAUAGAUCCUAAUGAAAGGGAAGUGAUGUCACUGGGCUAAGUGUCAUACCAGUUUAAUUCUGCCCCACCAAUUUCAAAACAAUAGCCUAUCCUAGUAAUGUUAUUUGACAUCUCUUAGUUUAAAGUCUGUAUUAGUGCCUUUUCAUCUGAUUUGAUCAAUUAGUGGUAAUGUCCCUCUGACAUUUCUUUGAGGGUCAAGACUCGCCUCGACUCCACACAGUAAAAGUGGCUUUAGAAAUAAUAAUUUAAGGAUAUAGAGACAGUGAGACCAUUUCAUUUAUGUUACCACUGUAAAAGUAUAGGCUACAUGGAAGAGGAUGUAUUUUCACUAAACAUACACUAUUUAUCUGAAUUAUGUGUACAAUGCAGUCUGUAUUAUGUGUUGUUAUUUUAGCUGUGUUAUCUUCAGCAAAUGGCUUGAAACACUGAGGCUUAAUUUGUAGUUUGAUUACAUCCAUGGAUAAACAGUUUGUGAUCUACAGCCAUGACAUUCUGCCAAUAUUCUGUCAUAAUACGUCUGACCUGGUUAUAUCUCUUAUUACCUUUUCAUGUAGGCUAUAGAUAGUAAAAACUAAACUUUGUCAUGUUGAAAUAACCUUUUAUAAUAGCUCUUCAAACUCUCUGGAUUAUACUAGAAAAAGGCUUUAAGACCCAGAAUGUAAUCAAAGAAUUAACUCCCCUUUUUUCAGAGUACUAGAUGGUACAGUCCAAUCUCUCCUCCUCUCUGUCUCAUUCUCCUCCCUCUUGCUUCCAGUGUCCUCCAUCUCUCCGCUUUCCCUCAUUUUCUCUUACUAAGGACAUUGUCACUACCACAGCCUGCUGCAGUUGCUCCUCCGUCUGUAAUCCUUGUUAUCUCUGCAGAGCUUUUGGAGAGUGAAGCAGCACCGAGCUGACCUUAUAAAGACUCCUCCUGACCAGACCACACCUCUGUCCCUGAGUCCAUGGAAGCCAAGGCCAAGUCUGGGGCCCCGGCACCCAAGGCUGCAUCUAAAGCUGAAAAGAAGGAGCCGGCAGCCCCACGCAAGAGUGACCCUGCCCCUGCCCCUGUAGCUCCUGAGCCCGAGCAGCCUCCUCCCCAUGAUGGGGCAGCAGAAACGGAAGCAGCAGGUGAUGAGGCUGUGGCCUCUGGCACAGACUCUCUGGAACAUCUGAAGCCGUUCCUCAUUGGUGGUGCUGUUAUUGCUGCAGGAGCCAUCUUGCUGGGAGUGUUGCUACUGGCGAGGAGAAAUUAAAACCAAGUCAUUAUCUCAAUUGAAAGUAUUUAUUGGUUAAUCAGCUGGAGCGCUAUUGCUAAGUGGUUCACAGACUAUGAUACCUGGGGGAUGGGGUGCCACUGUGCUUCUAUUUUUUGUUCUAUUUUUUCAGCCUGCUUUCACUAGUAGUGAAUCAAACCAUUUAAGUUUGGAUCAAGGCUGUAUAUGGAGCAAACUACAAAUAGAAUAUGCAUGAAGUUACUUCAAUACUGCAUCUGAACUGUAAUAACCUAUUUCUUAAAAAAUGUACCACACUGUAGUGCUGAGCUUUAAACCGUAGACUCUAAAUCUAGCUCCCUCAACUGCUUUAUCUUUCUUUAAUCUAGUUUGCACAAAUGUUGACAAAAGCUUGCAAUAUUUGUACAUUCCUGCACUGGAAAUGAGAUUGGUUCACUUUACUAAAAGAUGAUAAAAAAACUGUUUUCAUAAUGUUGAAAUUAUGGAUAAUAGUGCUGGCUAUCAGAGCUGUCCUAGUUUUUUUUUACUUCUGUAUUAAACAAUUGAAAGAAUAGAAGUCAGUACAGCGGGGAAUAUGCAUUGUGAUGCAUCGCACAUAUUGUGGAAAAUUCCAUGCCAUCCCUGCAUAUUCGGAAAAAAAAUCUAAAUUGAUUGCUCCAGUGAAAUUUCAAAAAUCUACUUUUCCAGAGAUAGAAAAGAUGAGCACGCAAUGAUUAAGAAAGAGGAUGUUUGGGAAUGUUGGAGAACAGUAUACAUAGUAGGUUGCAGAGAACAAUAGUAUUGUUACGUCUUGCUGUAGACUAAGAAAGAGUUUGUUUUUACUGUUAAAAAAUGUCACAAAUCAAUAACCUUUCAUGUCUUACACAAAAGCCACCAUCAUGCUGGUUCAACUGGUUUGCUGCUUACAGUAGAUAUAGCUGGAGCAGGCUAACCAGACAUCAGUGUUUCAAUUUCGCUGCUGCAUACACUUACCUGUACAGAUGUACACAAUGUUCUUCGCUCACAUUCAACGGUCAUUGGGGUGUUCCUGUUGCAUCAGUAGAUAGCAGAUAGACAAUUGUGAUUCACAUCAUCACUUGAUAUAAGUUGUGAGGGGGAAUAUGUAUUGCAGAAUUUGUUCCUCGUUAAAAACUAUUUUGUACACAUACCACAUUUACCACAGUUAACAACCUAAACCCAUACAAAAUAUAGUAUGCCAACACCAAAACAAACUUCACCUGACAUUGUACGAUACAGUGUACCAAAAAAAAGAAAGAUACUAUUUUCAUAAUUUCAACAGCGUAUAAAUGCAAUAAUUCAGAUAGGACUCCUCAUUUAGCAUAUGUGCUGUAGCAAGUUAAAUUAUAUACAAGAGGAUUUACCAAUAUAUUGGAAGAUGAUGAUGUAAGAAAUGGCAAUUAUGGCGAGAUAGCAUGAUGCGUAUGAUGGUAAUAAUGAGGUCUCAUGGUGACCGUACUGAAAAUAAUGAUGGUUAUGAUAUAUUUUUGAUAUAUUUGUCACGUUUUCCUUCUGCACACUCCCCUAUGCCCCAAUAUCCAAAUGUAAAAAUGAGAAAGGAUGAUAUCUAACCUUUAUUAAAGUCAGUGAACCAGU